rnacentral:rRNA from 1 species
GAUCAUGGCUCAGAACGAACGCUGGCAGCGUGGAUGAGGCAUGCAAGUCGAACGGUCCAAGGUUGGUAGCAAUAUUGACCUUGGAUAGUGGCGGAAGGGCGAGUAAUGCGAAAGCAAGCUACCCCUCGGUUCGGGACAACGGCUGGAAACGGCCGCUAAUACCGGAUCCGAACGGUCGGUCGCAUGGGCGACCGUUGAAAGGCCGGGACCCGCGAGGGCCGGUCGCCGGGGGAGGCGCUUUCGUGCCAUCGGCUAGUUGGUGAGGUAACGGCUCACCAAGGCUUACGGCUAGGUGGACUGAGAGGUUGGUCACCCGCACUGGGACUGAGACACUGCCCAGACUCCUACGGGAGGCUGCAGUCGAGGAUCAUUUGCAAUGGGCGAAAGCCUGACAAUGCGACGCUGCGUGCAGGAUGAAGGUCUUCGGAUUGUAAACUGCUGUCAAGGGGGAAAAGGACGCGGCCCCGAACAAGGGCUGCCGUUUGAUUGUACUCCUAGAGGAAGUGACGGCUAACUCUGUGCCAGCCGCCGC